GCGAGGGGUAUUCUUAGUGAGCAUUGCUCACAGUACCUCUUGUUUUAACAGGUUUUUUUUUUUACAAUAACUAUCGGAAAAGACUAACAAAAUUUAUGUUCCUAUCAUGCAAUCUGAUGGCAUCAUAGGAGGGUGGAAUUACUUUAAGUUAUGUUUAGUGCUGUGUGUAUAUAAACAUGCACUCAUAUAAUUAUAUCUUCCCUCUUCCAGGGGGAGACAUAUUGUAUUUGUACUUUCUGUCCGUCCUUCCUUCUGUCACAAAAUCUUGUGAACGCUUCUCCACCUAUAUGGCUUAUCAGACAGACUUGAAACUUUGUACAAUGCUUCAUUGUCAUUUGCAGAUGUGAAUAUUGUUGGGACGGGAGGAUCCAAUUGUUUUCCUAAGAGUUAUAGUGGAUCUAAGAGGGGUGGAAGAUGUAAAAUAGCUUAUGAACUCUUCUCCUCCCAUAUGGCUUAUUGGAUAGACUUGAAACUUUGUACAAUGCUUAAUUGUCAUUUGUAGAUGUGCAUAUUGUCGGAAUGGGAGGAUCCAAAGUUUUUCCUAAAAGAUAUAGUGGAUCUAAAAGGGGUGGAGGAUGUUAAAAUACCUUGUGAACACUUCUCCUAUAUGGCUUAUCUGAUAGACUUGAGAAUUUGUACAAUGCUUUAAUGCCAUUUGUAGAUGUGCAAGUUGUAGGGACAGGAGGAUCCAAUUGUUUUCCUAAGAGUUAUAGUGGAUCUAAGAGGGGUGGAAGAUGUAAAAUAGCUUAUGAACUCUUCUCCUCCCAUAUGGCUUAUUGGAUAGACUUGAAACUUUGUACAAUGCUUAAUUGUCAUUUGUAGAUGUGCAUAUUGUCGGAAUGGGAGGAUCCAAAGUUUUUCCUAAAAGAUAUAGUGGAUCUAAAAGGGGUGGAGGAUGUUAAAAUACCUUGUGAACACUUCUCCUAUAUGGCUUAUCUGAUAGACUUGAGAAUUUGUACAAUGCUUCAAUGCCAUUUGUAGAUGUGCAAGUUGUAGGGACAGGAGGAUCCAAUUGCUAUCCUUAAAGUUAAAGUGGAUCUGAGGGGUGUAGGGUAUAAAAUAGUUUGUGAACGCUUCUCCUCCUAUAUGGCUUAUCAGAGUUCAUGGCUAUCUUCCUGCCCAUGCUUUCUCCUCCAUACUAUUCAAUACAUUAAGGUGGAUGUUUCCUAUAUUUUACGAAUUAAUUGGUUGAUUGACAACAAACUUGGUACACUUGUACAGCAUAUAUAAGGAGUAGAAGACCCCUAUUGAUUCUUAGGUCACAUGGUCAGUCCACUCUUGACAUAGGAAGGUAUUGUCUGCUCAAUAUUUUGAAUUGGUGUAACUACUAUCAAUUAAAUGAGGCACGGGUAUAACCCUUUCAAUUUUGCAACUUGGGGGGCAUUUGUGUUUUAGAAACAUCUCUUGUGUUGUAUUAUAUGAAUUACAGUUUUUAGUGUGCUCAGUUUAGAGAAUAGCAUAAAAGUAUUUGAUAAUUAAAUAUCUUGCAGAUUGGCAGUUUACUCCAUGCACCGACAGGAAUGAUAAACUGUGAUAUUCGUAAAUGGAACUGGGACACGUUCUAAAUAUACUCAGGGACAGAAUGAUGUGCAGCAAGGCUCGUCAUGGAUUUUACCAAAUACAGAACACUGCAAGGCUUGCAAAAUGAAGACCUCAGUAAAAAAAUUUCUAAAUUAUUCACUAAUGGCAGCUCACUACCUGCCCCUUGUGAUGUUAAAAGAGGCCGUUGUUCUCAUUUGUUCCAAAACAGGAAUGGCAUAUGAGGAGGCCAACAGAAGAUGCACCGCCACUGAGUGUGCACUCACAAAACGAAUAAAUUAUUAUUAUUUCUUUUGUUUGUAAUUGUAUAUUGUCAACAAGGUCAAAGGCACUUGAUCCGAUGCCAAACUUUUGCAUUUCUUUUGCUUUGUGGUAAAUUUUCUUCAGCAACAUUAACAUUGUUUAAAUUGUUUUCUUUGGAGAGUUUACAUGUACACAUGGAUCAUUUGUAUAUUAGAAUUAUAGCAUUGUUUAAUUCAACUCAUUCUUAUCAUAGAGAGGUUAUUAUAUACUGCAGGCAACGACUUGUAAAGGGUAUACUGUUUUAACUCACAUGCAAGGCAGUAUUAUGAAACUUUGUAGUUGAUAAGGACAUAUAUCACAUAUCGAUAUGCAUAUUUACAGGAAACUCUGAUGUAUUUUAAAUCUGAACGUUAAUUUAAAAGUGGGGAGAAAUAGCAUUGGAUGAAAAAAGACACAUAUGAAGAAAAUUAUUCCAUACGUAAAUACUUUUUAGCUCACCUGAGCUGAAAGCUCAAGUGAGCUUUUCUGAUCGCCUGUUGUUCAUUGUCUGUCCGUGAUUAAACAUUUUAUAUUUUCUCCAGAAGCACUGGGCCAAUAAUAACCAAACUUAGCCAAAAGUAUCCUUGGGUAAAGGGCUUUUGAGUUUGUUCAAAUGAAGGGCCAUGCCCUCUUCAAAGGGGAGAUGACCACAAAAAUAGGGUGGGUCAUUUAAUUUUUUUUUUUAUCAAGAACCAUUGGGCCAGAAGAGCUGAAAUGUACAUGAAAGCUUCCUGACAUAGUACAGAUUCAAGUUUAUUGAAAUCAUGGCCUCCAGGGGUUGUAUGGGGCCACAAUAGAGAAUCAAAGUUUUACAUACAAUUAUUCAGGAAAACUCUUUCAAUAUGAGCCAAGGUGGCUCAGAUGAGCGAUGUGGCCCAUGGGCCUCUUGUUCAACAUAUAGAAUAAAUAGUUAUGUUGUAUUUCCCAUGGAACAUUGAAACGUUUAAUGCGUUUACCAAUUAAUCACUGAAAGAAAGAUAACAUUGUUGUUUCAUGUUUUAUGAAAACUUAAAAGAUGUUUCAUUUCUUUUCAUGAAAGACCCCUUAAUUACCCAGUAAUAUAUAAUCAAUUCUUAACAGAUUAUGUAAAUUUGAUUUAUAUUAAGGAUGUUUGAUCUGAUUACCCAUCAUUAUCAAUCUGUCUAAUAUGGCCAUCAUGUGUUACUAUUGCUACGCAAUCUUGGAGCAUGAGGUAGAAUGCGAGCCAGCUCUUUCAUAAGUACAUGUAUCUGGAAAAUAUUUCAAUGUCAAAGGUUACAACAAUGUGAUAAUUUAAUCAUUGUAUGUCUAAGGUGUUGAUAAUAAAACAGUU